CAGCCGCGGUAAUGCGAAGGGGGCUAGCGUUGCUCGGAAUGACUGGGCGUAAAGGGCGCGUAGGCGGCGAUCAAAGUCAGGCGUGAAAUUCCUGGGCUCAACCUGGGGGCUGCGCUUGAUACUUGGUUGCUUGAGUGGGGAAGAGGGUCGUGGAAUUCCCAGUGUAGAGGUGAAAUUCGUAGAUAUUCGGAAGAACACCAGUGGCGAAGGCGACACACUGGCUCAUUACUGACGCUGAGGCUCGAAAGCGUGGGGAGCAAACAGGAUUAGAUACCCCCGUAGUCCCUGUCUCUUAUACACA
rnacentral:rRNA from 1 species